rnacentral:misc_RNA from 1 species
CUUUCAUACAAGAGGUGUCCCUUUUCAUUAUGAUCACCCCACACCCUUGUUGAAAAAGCUAGAAGUUGAUACAAACUAUAAAUCAUGAAAAAGAAACAGGACCAUGGAAACCAAAGAGAACUAAUAGCAAUGAUACACCUAUCUACAAAAUAAAUUUCUGCAGGACACAGUUGGGUAAAGUAGAACAGGAACCAAAAAUCUCAUCUGCAGAGCCGCUCAACCCCCUUCCCAAUAGAGCAGUAGACAUUUAUGCUGAUUUCAAGUUGGUGGGGUUAAAGCUUGAAGUAGAAGAUCUCACUGGAAGCUCUUUUAACCAUUUUCUAGCAAAGCUGACCAACGGUGCUCUUUACAUCCAGAGAGCUCAUUUUUCUUCUAAAUUUGAAGUGGAUGAAAGUUUUUCAUCCAAACUUUCAAGCAAGUCAUCGUAUUGGACAAAAGAUGGAUGGGUCUUUAAAGUAAUGCUAUAUGCUUUCCACAAGCGUAAAUCAUGCUGAAAUAAAUCAAACAAGACCUCAGACCGCCUCAAAAGUGUGGCCAAUACUACAAUCCACUCUUUGAACUUCACAGAGCACAUAUGAGACAAAAGGAACUCUGCAUCUAAACGACUUUGCAAUGUUUCCAUCUGAAGCUUUUGCCCAAUCAGUUCAAAGCCUGAAGCAAAGUUGUCCAGACGAGCACUUCCAUAUCUUUCUCGCUGCAAAUAUUCCACAAGAUCAAACUGCGUGCCCUUUACAAAUGCAACGAGCUUUGACAGUUCUUUUCCAGACAUCAAAUAGCUUGCAUGACUUUCUAAAAUAUUCUUAACAGAAGCAACAUGUGCACUUUGCUCCUUAAAUGAACCUUUGGACUCCAAAGUUUGCCUCCGGUAACUAGAAGGAAACAAAAAAUAUCCAAAGAAUCUAGGAGAUAGCUUCUCAGAAUCAGUGGUUGUGGGUUCAUAAUCCCGUCCAGAUCUGAGAAGAAACCUCACCAGUUCCCCUGCCAGUUCGUAUAAAGACUCAUCCAAUGUUGCCUGCAACAAACGCAAUGCACAAUAUUGACUUACAGCUGGACCUUCAAGCUUAGCAAUUACUAGUAUAUAGCAAGCGGCAGUUCGAUACCAUCUCCUUUGG